UGCCAGCAGCCGCGGUAAUACGUAGGGUGCGAGCGUUAAUCGGAAUUACUGGGCGUAAAGCGUGCGCAGGCGGUUUUGUAAGACAGAUGUGAAAUCCCCGGGCUUAACCUGGGAACUGCAUUUGUGACUGCAAGACUAGAGUGUGUCAGAGGGAGGUGGAAUUCCGCGUGUAGCAGUGAAAUGCGUAGAGAUGCGGAAGAACACCGAUGGCGAAGGCAGCCUCCUGGGAUAACACUGACGCUCAGGCACGAAAGCGUGGGGAGCAAACAGGAUUAGAUACCCUGGUAGUCCACGCCCUAAACGAUGUCAACUAGUUGUUGGGGAUUCAUUUCCUUAGUAACGUAGCUAACGCGUGAAGUUGACCGCCUGGGGAGUACGGCCGCAAGGUUAAAACUCAAAGGAAUUGACGG
rnacentral:rRNA from 1 species